UCAACCUUUGGAUCUGGGGCUUACCAUCAC
rnacentral:piRNA from 1 species